rnacentral:tmRNA from 1 species
GGGGACGUUCAUGGAUUCGACAGGGGUCCCCCGAGCUCAUUAAGCGUGUCGGAGGGUUGGCUUCGUCAUCAACACACACAGUUUAUAAUAACUGGCAAAUCAAACAAUAAUUUCGCAGUAGCUGCCUAAUCGCACUCUGCAUCGCCUAACAGCAUUUCCUAUGUGCUGUUAACGCGAUUCAACCUUAAUAGGAUAUGCUAAACACUGCCGUUUGAAGUCUGUUUAGAAGAAACUUAAUCAA